UUUCCGUAGGUGAACCUGCGGAAGGAUCAUUAUCGUACAAAAUGUGAGGGGCAUGCGAGGGCUGUCGCUGACCCAAAAGUCGUGCACGCCCGAGUGUGUCCUCUUGCAUAAUAAUCCAUCUCACCCUUUGUGCAUCGCCGCGUGGGCACCCUUCGGGAUCAUCUCGGAGGGGGGCUCGCGUUUUCACACAAGCCCCCCUUUUAAAAGUGUAGAAUGACCACAUUUAUGCAAUCAAUACAACUUUCAACAACGGAUCUCUUGGCUCUC
rnacentral:misc_RNA from 1 species